GGAGAUGUGGCAAAAAGGUUUUGCUGUGCUAUGGCAUCUCUUAGAAGAGCUAGCUGCAUUCGCUGAUGCAGAGCAGGGAGGAAACUGCAGUGGCAUGUUACAGCUCCAAGAGGAAUAGGGGCGAUAAAACCCAUUUUCCACCUUCCAGGGGAAAAAAGGUUGGACAGCACGAAUAGCCGGGUUUGCCCGCAGGAAACGGGAUGGGGUAUCCGUGGGAAAGAGGACUGGAAAAGAAGGAGGGUACCGGGAAAAAGAGAAGCACGGCAGCAGGAACUCGCAUCACAGCGGCUUAACUUUCAGCAGCAUCCUCCUCCUCCCCGGGCUGCUGCUCCCCCCUCCCCUCUCCGGAGGACACAGAGGGGAUGUUUCCGCGCCCCGGGGCCGGCGGUGCGGGUGAGGACGGGGUGCUGGCCGCCCCCCGCCGCCCCGAGGGAAGAGGAAGCGGCUCCGAGCCCGCAGGAAGUGCCGCUGCCCCGCGCCCGCCGCCCCCGGCCCAGCCCGGCCCGGCCCGGCGGCCGCUGAGCGGGGGCGGCCCGGGCGCUGACAGGUGGCGGCGGCGAGAGGCCUCCGGCUCGGCGGGCAGCGCCCGGCAGGAUCGCCCGGCACCCGCGGCACCUGCCCUGCCCGCCCCUACCUUGUUGAGGUGGGGGUCGCGGAGCACCUCGUAGCCCCUCUUCAUGGUGCUGGAGAAGUGAUUCCCCUGCAGCCCAUUGUGAAGACCAUGGUAAGGUUGUCCCCUUGCAGCCCACAGAGGUCCACAGUGGAGCAAAUAUCCACCAUGGAGCAGAUAUCCCAUAGAGGAACUCAUUACAGAGCAGGGGAAUGCCUGAAGGAGGCUGUGACCCCUUGGGAAGCCCAUGCUGGAACAUGCUCCUAGCAGGACCUGUGGCCUCAUGGAGAGAGGAACCCAUGUUGGAGCAGGUUUGCUGGCCCUGUAGGGGACCCAUGCUGGGGCAAUCUGUUCCUGAAGGGCUGAACCCCCUGGAAGGCACCACACUGGAGCAUUUUGUGAAGAACUGCAGCCGGUGGGGAGGAGCCAUGUUGGAGAAGUUCAUGAAGGACUGUCUCCUGUGGAGGGACUCCACACUGGGCAGAAGACUGUGAGGAGUCCUCCCCCUGAGGAGGAAGGAUUGGCAGAAGCAUGUGAUGCACUGACCACAACCCCCAUUGCCCAUCUGCCUGCACUGCUGGAGGUGAGGAGGUAUAGAAUUCGGGAGUGAAGGUGAACCUGGGAAGAUGGAGAAGUGGAAGGAAAGUGUUUUUAGAUUUGUUCCUAUUUUUCAUUAUACUCCUCUGAUUCGAUUGGCAAUGAAUUAAAUUUGUUUCCCUAGGUGGAGUCUAUUUUUCCCAUGACCAGUAAUUGCUGAGUGAUCUCCCUUGUCCUUAUCUUGACACAGGAGCCUUUAGUUUUAUUUUCUCUGCUCUGCCCAGGUGAGGAGGGGAGUGAUAAAAAAGACUUCUGUGAGCACCUGGUGUCCAGCCAGAUUCAACCCACUUCAAUCAGUAAGAAGACAUUUGGUAGGCGCAAUCUUUGGGCAUGUGACAAGACAGCAUUUGUAAUGUUAGCCGAAUAAUCUGUAGUGAUUUAAAAUCCUAUUGUAGUUUCUGUAUCACUAGUUUCAUUAUUUGAUUAAAGUCCAGCAGAGCAUUAAGGAUUACAUUUGACUGAGCAUGAAUGAUUUACAAUUAGUUAGAAAAAAUAAAGGUAUUAAGGAAUGUGCCAGGUUAAUUUAUUUGACAAAUGAGUGUAAAGCUACUUACACAAACAUUUCAAAAGAGAGAAGCACCUGGUUCAUAAUGUAUUUUGUAGAAGCAAUGAAAAAAGUAAUUAUUGAGAACUGUAAAAACACUGCCAGGAGGUAUAGCUAAGAUCUAGCUCACUAGGAAUGCAGGGGCUGACUUCCACUGCAUCUCACAGUUGUGCUGGGUCCCUCCCCUGACUAACCCACUGGGUGACAGUCAGUAAGCUGAGGAAUCCACAGGUAGGGAAGAUGUAAGCUAUACAUGGCAGUUAGGGCAUGGUUUGGUAUCCAGCCUGGGGUUUGUACAAGGGGAUAAUUGUAAUUCAUUUGUAUUACAGUAUCUGCUAAGGCCAAGCUUUUAGUGUUUUCCAGUUUAAUGUCAAUAAUACUACAGUAAUGUUGAUACCUAGCUUUUUAAAACACUACUCAUUUUUAAUUUGUUUAUGUUGGUGACAUUUCUUAUUUUACAGCAGUAUAGGAAACACCUCGUGGUGACUGAUUUAAGCCACUUGCUGUCUGUUUUUACUUGAUCGUGAUAUUGCUUUGUCAACAGGAUCAACAGCAUAACUUGCAACAUUGCAAAUGUAAAGAAAUAAACUUUUCUAAAAAGUCCAA